rnacentral:snRNA from 1 species
GUGCUUGCAUCAGCAGCACAUAUACUAAAAUUGGAAUGAUACAGAGAAGAUUACCAUGGCCCCUGUGCAAGGAUAAUGUGCAAAUUCAUUUAUGAAAACACCAAAAAC